UGCCCACGCAAGCUGGGGGCUGAGGAAAUAGAAUGUGAGCACAUCUGCUUGAGGAGCUGCUGUCUGACUUGGGGAGCAUCUUGUGCCAGUGGGAGCCACGGAGCUUGCGCUUGUGGUGGACGCAGCACGUGGAGACCCCUCGGCUGCCCCUGAUCCUAGGAGCCAGAAGGACCUGCAACAGGAGGGAGACAGAAGCAGCAGCUGUGUGUUCUGGUGCAGUAUGGAGAAAGGGUGGUUUAAUGUUUCCUCACCCUGAAGAUAGCCUAAGAUUUUAGGAUCUCGCCUGGCAGCCUCCCACAAAAACAUUAUGAGAGAGCAAGUUGUCGGAGUAUUCAGCCAAUGAGAAGACAAUAAAAGAUUCAAGGGGUGAAAUAGGUUACCACUCCAGAUAUUUGUGCCCAUGGAAGUUACAAGUGAAGUUAAAAGCCAGCAAAAUGAUGGAGUUGUGACAAGCCAGGACAAUGGACAUCUCUCUUGUAGAUUUGAGAUCAGCUAUAUCCUGUCAGAAGAGCUGAGGAGUUGCUUAACACUUACAGUUUUUCUGGCACAUGAGCUGCCAGCACUGUUCAGUGGACGGCAACAGCUCACGGAGGGCUGAUGUGCCACGCCAGGCUCCUCAUUGUCAGAGCAGAGCUCAAGAGAUUUCUUGACUUCGUGAACUUUGCGCCUCAUCUCGGAUUCCCUCUCCCAGCAAUCUUAGCAUCUCCUUCCGUGUGGGACACUUCUGACACGACUUCCAUCAUACUUCAUGUUCAGUAACAACAGAGUGUACUUCUUAAGGAACAGCGUCAGCCGUUCAAGGAUCAGCCGGUGGUUUCUGAUUUGACGCAUCCAGCAAUUAAGUUGGCCUCUUCAAGCACCCAUGUGUUUUUAACUGGGUUUUGUCAGCAAGGAGUUUACGAAGCAAAGCGGUCAUGUCCACACAAACGCAGCCUGCAGUGCAAGGCUGACCAGAGCUGUGCCAUUCCCAAGUGACAUGGGACCUUGAGCAAGGGUCUGUCUGGAUCAGCCCAGCUGCCUCGGUAAUCUCUGCUUGUUGUGGCAGGGCCUCCAUUACUCCAAGCCAAUUAAAGGGUCUGGAUUGUAA